CAUUCACGGAGAGUUUGAUCCUGGCUCAGGACGAACGCUGGCGGCGUGCUUAACACAUGCAAGUCGAACGAUGAACCCACUUCGGUGGGGGAUUAGUGGCGAACGGGUGAGUAACACGUGGGCAAUCUGCCCUUCACUCUGGGACAAGCCCUGGAAACGGGGUCUAAUACCGGAUACGACCACUUCAGGCAUCUGAUGGUGGUGGAAAGCUCCGGCGGUGAAGGAUGAGCCCGCGGCCUAUCAGCUUGUUGGUGGGGUAAUGGCCCACCAAGGCGACGACGGGUA
rnacentral:rRNA from 1 species